rnacentral:lncRNA from 1 species
CAUAAAAGUGAUGAAGAACUUAAUGCAAUUUUGCAAGCAGUCAGUACGAGCAAAACGGAAGCAAAAUUGGAUGCGGAUAAGAAAGACUUUCUCCUAACUCUUAUGACAUAUGUCAAUCAAUGCAGAACGUCAGAAGAAUUAGAUAUAUUAAAAAAACUUACUGCACCAUUUCCCCCAACACUGCAAGCUGUGCGAACAAAUCCAGCAUCUAGUUCUUUAUUGCCAUCUGCUAGAAACAUAUCUACUAAUAAAAAUGUUCAGCCGCAGAGGCGUAUAUACUCAACUAGAAAAGUGACAAAGAAAAAGCACAAGGAAAUCCCGACUCAAAAUGAGACUUACACUUUAGCAUUACAACUUUUGUCUUCAGAAAAAAAAAUCGGUAGUUAAUCGUAUUAUUGUAUUGUAACGGAAAUGGUCUGGUUUGCCCCGGAUUGUUAAUUUACUUAAAUCAAUUACUAAAUAUGUUAGUCCAUGUCACUUGGUUUUAAUUAAAUACCCUUGCAUUAAUCUGUUCCACCACCCUAUAACUUUUUGUAUGGGCUAUACAUGUAUAACUUUAUAUACGUUGAAGAAUUUUGUUCGUAAAUUACCAAUAUUUCCAAUUUUUUAAAUUGCCGCGAAAAAUCAGCUGAAACUUACAGACAUCUGACAAACAGAAAUAAAAUGGCAACACUGCGAAGCUCUGUGACCGGGUACGGCUAAUGUCUUGUAUCAGAAAUAAAGGAAAAAAGUGAUUUCACGGUAGCAGUGCUUAAUAACCAAAAUAAAGUGCCUCAUUUGUGGAUUAGAUGCAGAUGAUGUUAAAAAAAACAUCGUUUUCUAUCUAAUCUGGAAAAGUACGUACCUUCAGAAACAAGUUAUUAAGAUUUGUCUGGUACCUUCUUACUAUAGUCUAGUAUUUGCUGUUAUCCACUAAAUGUAUGGUUAUUUUAUGGGCUCUAAUUUCAUUGUUAAUUUUUGUAGAUCAAAUUUGGCAGGAGCCAUUGGGAAUGAAAUGUUCGGGUCGAAAUCGGUGAAAAAUUCGAAAGAUUUGAGACUUGUUCGUAACGCAGUUCUAAAUAGAUUUAUUGAAAUUGAGUGUACCGGGGGGGGAAGCUCUAUGGAAAAUGUAGCACCAGUUAUUCUUGAUAGUGGGGUGGAAAAUGUUCCAUUAACUACCAGUGAUAUGACUGAUAAAUGCCAGCCAGGCACAUCAAAACACCAAAUCAACCUCCAGUAACUCCUACUAGAAAGUUGUUUCGAAGUGUUGAAGGGCUGAGCAAUAUAGAAAAUUCCCCAAGGAAAUUAAAAUUAAUUCGCAUAAUCAACAGAAAAGAAAAUCAGUUGAGAAAAGUGAAACGUUUGUGU